rnacentral:rRNA from 1 species
UUAAGUGACUAAGCGUACACGGUGGAUGCCCUGGCAGUCAGAGGCGAUGAAGGACGUGCUAAUCUGCGAUAAGCGUCGGUAAGGUGAUAUGAACCGUUAUAACCGGCGAUUUCCGAAUGGGGAAACCCAGUGUGUUUCGACACACUAUCAUUAACUGAAUCCAUAGGUUAAUGAGGCGAACCGGGGGAACUGAAACAUCUAAGUACCCCGAGGAAAAGAAAUCAACCGAGAUUCCCCCAGUAGCGGCGAGCGAACGGGGAGCAGCCCAGAGCCUGAAUCAGUGUGUGUGUUAGUGGAAGCGUCUGGAAAGGCGCGCGAUACAGGGUGACAGCCCCGUACACAAAAAUGCACAUACUGUGAGCUCGAUGAGUAGGGCGGGACACGUGGUAUCCUGUCUGAAUAUGGGGGGACCAUCCUCCAAGGCUAAAUACUCCUGACUGACCGAUAGUGAACCAGUACCGUGAGGGAAAGGCGAAAAGAACCCCGGCGAGGGGAGUGAAAAAGAACCUGAAACCGUGUACGUACAAGCAGUGGGAGCACGCUUAGGCGUGUGACUGCGUACCUUUUGUAUAAUGGGUCAGCGACUUAUAUUCUGUAGCAAGGUUAACCGAAUAGGGGAGCCGAAGGGAAACCGAGUCUUAACUGGGCGUUAAGUUGCAGGGUAUAGACCCGAAACCCGGUGAUCUAGCCAUGGGCAGGUUGAAGGUUGGGUAACACUAACUGGAGGACCGAACCGACUAAUGUUGAAAAAUUAGCGGAUGACUUGUGGCUGGGGGUGAAAGGCCAAUCAAACCGGGAGAUAGCUGGUUCUCCCCGAAAGCUAUUUAGGUAGCGCCUCGUGAAUUCAUCUCCGGGGGUAGAGCACUGUUUCGGCAAGGGAGUCAUCCCGACUUACCAACCCGAUGCAAACUGCGAAUACCGGAGAAUGUUAUCACGGGAGACACACGGCGGGUGCUAACGUCCGUCGUGAAGAGGGAAACAACCCAGACCGCCAGCUAAGGUCCCAAAGUCAUGGUUAAGUGGGAAACGAUGUGGGAAGGCCCAGACAGCCAGGAUGUUGGCUUAGAAGCAGCCAUCAUUUAAAGAAAGCGUAAUAGCUCACUGGUCGAGUCGGCCUGCGCGGAAGAUGUAACGGGGCUAAACCAUGCACCGAAGCUGCGGCAGCGACGCUGAUGCGUUGUUGGGUAGGGGAGCGUUCUGUAAGCCUGUGAAGGUGUGCUGUGAGGCAUGCUGGAGGUAUCAGAAGUGCGAAUGCUGACAUAAGUAACGAUAAAGCGGGUGAAAAGCCCGCUCGCCGGAAGACCAAGGGUUCCUGUCCAACGUUAAUCGGGGCAGGGUGAGUCGACCCCUAAGGCGAGGCCGAAAGGCGUAGUCGAUGGGAAACAGGUUAAUAUUCCUGUACUUGGUGUUACUGCGAAGGGGGGACGGAGAAGGCUAUGUUGGCCGGGCGACGGUUGUCCCGGUUUAAGCGUGUAGGCUGGUUUUCCAGGCAAAUCCGGAAAACUAAGGCUGAGGCGUGAUGACGAGGCACUACGGUGCUGAAGCAACAAAUGCCCUGCUUCCAGGAAAAGCCUCUAAGCAUCAGGUAACAUCAAAUCGUACCCCAAACCGACACAGGUGGUCAGGUAGAGAAUACCAAGGCGCUUGAGAGAACUCGGGUGAAGGAACUAGGCAAAAUGGUGCCGUAACUUCGGGAGAAGGCACGCUGAUAUGUAGGUGAAGCGACUUGCUCGUGGAGCUGAAAUCAGUCGAAGAUACCAGCUGGCUGCAACUGUUUAUUAAAAACACAGCACUGUGCAAACACGAAAGUGGACGUAUACGGUGUGACGCCUGCCCGGUGCCGGAAGGUUAAUUGAUGGGGUCAGCGCAAGCGAAGCUCUUGAUCGAAGCCCCGGUAAACGGCGGCCGUAACUAUAACGGUCCUAAGGUAGCGAAAUUCCUUGUCGGGUAAGUUCCGACCUGCACGAAUGGCGUAAUGAUGGCCAGGCUGUCUCCACCCGAGACUCAGUGAAAUUGAACUCGCUGUGAAGAUGCAGUGUACCCGCGGCAAGACGGAAAGACCCCGUGAACCUUUACUAUAGCUUGACACUGAACAUUGAGCCUUGAUGUGUAGGAUAGGUGGGAGGCUUUGAAGUGUGGACGCCAGUCUGCAUGGAGCCGACCUUGAAAUACCACCCUUUAAUGUUUGAUGUUCUAACGUUGACCCGUGAUCCGGGUUGCGGACAGUGUCUGGUGGGUAGUUUGACUGGGGCGGUCUCCUCCUAAAGAGUAACGGAGGAGCACGAAGGUUGGCUAAUCCUGGUCGGACAUCAGGAGGUUAGUGCAAUGGCAUAAGCCAGCUUGACUGCGAGCGUGACGGCGCGAGCAGGUGCGAAAGCAGGUCAUAGUGAUCCGGUGGUUCUGAAUGGAAGGGCCAUCGCUCAACGGAUAAAAGGUACUCCGGGGAUAACAGGCUGAUACCGCCCAAGAGUUCAUAUCGACGGCGGUGUUUGGCACCUCGAUGUCGGCUCAUCACAUCCUGGGGCUGAAGUAGGUCCCAAGGGUAUGGCUGUUCGCCAUUUAAAGUGGUACGCGAGCUGGGUUUAGAACGUCGUGAGACAGUUCGGUCCCUAUCUGCCGUGGGCGCUGGAGAACUGAGGGGGGCUGCUCCUAGUACGAGAGGACCGGAGUGGACGCAUCACUGGUGUUCGGGUUGUCAUGCCAAUGGCACUGCCCGGUAGCUAAAUGCGGAAGAGAUAAGUGCUGAAAGCAUCUAAGCACGAAACUUGCCCCGAGAUGAGUUCUCCCUGACUCCUUGAGAGUCCUGAAGGAACGUUGAAGACGACGACGUUGAUAGGCCGGGUGUGUAAGCGCAGCGAUGCGUUGAGCUAACCGGUACUAAUGAACCGUGAGGCUUAACCUU